rnacentral:tRNA from 1 species
AGGAUUAUAGUUUAUCUAAAACAAUUGACUUGCAAUCAAUAAACAUUAAUUUAUUAAUUUAUCUUA